GCCAUGCCGAACUUACCUUUCCCCAAUUGAUUCCUCUUCUCUCCCUCUCUCAGGAUCUGCUCUAGGUUUCUUUAAAACUUAAGAAAAAGUAGGGACUAUUUCUCUUAUGGAGGUUUCCUACGCGGUGUCCAGCGGAGGAGCAAAGUGUGCUUCAUUUCCGGUUGUCACAGCAAUUUUCCCACAAUCCUUACCUUUCCUCCCUGUUCCCGCGAUGCUUCCUCUCACUUAGACAGGAC